UACGGGGGGGGCAAGCGUUGUUCGGAAUUACUGGGCGUAAAGGGCGCGUAGGCGGCCUGCUAAGUCGAACGUGAAAUCCCUGGGCUCAACCCAGGAACUGCGUCCGAUACUGGUUGGCUUGAAUCCGGGAGAGGGAUGUGGAAUUCCAGGUGUAGCGGUGAAAUGCGUAGAUAUCUGGAGGAACACCGGUGGCGAAGGCGACAUCCUGGACCGGCAUUGACGCUGAGGCGCGAAAGCCAGGGGAGCAAACGGG
rnacentral:rRNA from 1 species